GCCGCUCCCCGGGUGGUCGCGGUCCGGCGCAAGCCGGGUCGAGGAAAGUCCGGACUCCGAAGGGCAACGCGCCUUGUGAAAGCAGGGAACGGCGGUUUCAAGACCGUCGGAUGGAAAGUGCAACAGAAAGCAAACCGCCGAUGGCCCGCGAGGGCACAGGCAAGGGUGAAACGGUGGAGUAAGAGCCCACCGCGUCCCGGGCAACCGUGGCGGCACGGCAAACCCCGCGUGGAGCAAGACAGAACAGGGGAAGGGCGGCCCGUCCGUUGAUCCCCGGGUAAUAGUCGCAUCCCGCGCAAGCGGGGCGCCCCGCUCCGGCGGGGUGAGAGAAAUGACCGCACAAUCCCGCUCCGGCGGGAGGGACAGAAUCCGGCUUACAGGGGAGCGGCACCC
rnacentral:RNase_P_RNA from 1 species